GCCCGCGUUGUCUAAUGGUUAUGACGUCAGACUUCUAACUUGAGUGUAGGCAUCUGGAGGUUGCGGGUUCGAGUCCCGCCGUGGGUU